GUGUGCCGAAAGCACACACAUAUAAUAAUGCGACGUUUUGUACCUAUUGGUACAAAACUCGUCAGAUGAACAGUGAGGCUGAAUUUCUGCCAAACUGUUUAUCUUUC
rnacentral:sRNA from 1 species